rnacentral:rRNA from 1 species
AGAGUUUGAUCCUGGCUCAGAAUCAACGCUGGCGGCGUGCCUAACACAUGCAAGUCGAACGAGAAAGUGGUAGCAAUACCAUGAGUAAAGUGGCGCACGGGUGAGUAACACGUGACUAACCUACCCUGGAGUGGGGGAUAACUGAGGGAAACCUUAGCUAAUACCGCAUAACACCUACGGGUCAAAGGAGCAAUUCGCUUUGGGAGGGGGUCGCGGCCGAUUAGUUAGUUGGCGGGGUAAUGGCCCACCAAGACAGUGAUCGGUAUCCGGCCUGAGAGGGCGCACGGACACACUGGAACUGAAACACGGUCCAGACUCCUACGGGAGGCAGCAGUGGGGAAUUUUGCGCAAUGGGGGAAACCCUGACGCAGCAACGCCGCGUGGAGGAUGAAGUACUUCGGUACGUAAACUCCUUUCGAUCGGGACGAUUAUGACGGUACCGGAAGAAGAAGCCCCGGCUAACUUCGUGCCAGCAGCCGCGGUAAUACGAGGGGGGCGAGCGUUGUUCGGAAUUAUUGGGCGUAAAGGGUGCGUAGGCGGUUUGGUAAGUCUUUUGUGAAAUCUAUGGGCUCAACUCAUAGACUGCAAGGGAAACUGCCGGGCUUGAGUAUGGGAGAGGUGAGUGGAAUUCCUGGUGUAGCGGUGAAAUGCGUAGAUAUCAGGAGGAACACCUGUGGCGAAAGCGGCUCACUGGACCAUUACUGACGCUGAUGCACGAAAGCUAGGGGAGCAAACAGGAUUAGAUACCCUGGUAGUCCUAGCCCUAAACGAUGACUGCUUGGUGUGACGGGUACCCAAUCCCCGUUGUGCCGUAGCUAACGCGUUAAG